rnacentral:rRNA from 1 species
CUGGCGGCGUGCCUAAUACAUGCAAGUCGAACGGCUUUUCUAUGGAAGCUUGCUUCCACUGAAAAGAUAGUGGCGAACGGGUGAGUAACACGUGGGGUAACCCUGGCCCCAUAAGAGGGGGGAUAACAUCCGGAAACGGGUGCUAAUACCGCAUAGUUUUCUUGAUCGCAUGAUCGGGAAAGGAAAGACGGCCUUUGUGCUGUCGCUUACGGAUGGACCCGCGGCGUAUUAGUUAGUUGGUGAGGUAACGGCUCACCAAGACGAUGAUACGUAGCCGACCUGAGAGGGUGAUCGGCCACAUUGGGACUGAGACACGGCCCAAACUCCUACGGGAGGCAGCAGUAGGGAAUCUUCCGCAAUGGACGAAAGUCUGACGGAGCAACGCCGCGUGAGUGAAAGAAGGUUUUCGGAUCGUAAAACUCUGUUGUCAGAGAAGAACAAGUUGGAGAGUAACUGCUUCAGCCUUGACGGUAUCUGACCAGAAAGCCACGGCUAACUACGUGCCAGCCGCCGC